rnacentral:piRNA from 1 species
UGGGUGUUAGGAUUUAGGUUCCCCU